CAGUCGCCGCGGUAAUACAGAGGGUGCGAGCGUUAAUCGGAUUUACUGGGCGUAAAGCGUGCGUAGGCGGCUUCUUAAGUCGGAUGUGAAAUCCCUGAGCUUAACUUAGGAAUUGCAUUCGAUACUGGGAAGCUAGAGUAUGGGAGAGGAUGGUAGAAUUCCAGGUGUAGCGGUGAAAUGCGUAGAGAUCUGGAGGAAUACCGAUGGCGAAGGCAGCCAUCUGGCCUAAUACUGACGCUGAGGUACGAAAGCAUGGGGAGCAAACAGGAUUAGAUACCCCCGUAGUCCCUGUCUCAUAUAC
rnacentral:rRNA from 1 species